CCUAUUUGAAGUCAAGUGGCAGAGAACAGAAUUUUUAGCAAGCCUUAUGUCUAGUUCUCUAAAAUAAAAAGAAACCUGAAAUAUACUUAGAAAGUUCUUUCCCAGUACAAGAGUAAGGGAAAGGAAGGACAACCUGAAAUAACUUAGGGAGAAAAACAUCUGUGGUUUUUGUUUAAAUUGUUAUAAGUGGGCAAUAAUUCUGCAUAAUUAAUUCUUACAGCUACUUAAAAAGCUAUUUUCUUUGGUAGUAAUGGAUUUACUACUUGAAUAAUAACAGCUUUAGUACUUUUAUUGGUUUGGGGAAAAUAUAGGGAACGUGCACAAUUAACACUGCGAGGUUUUCACGAUUAUCUUCUAUAGAUGUCAAGAAAUGUAAUUAUAUAAUGUUAUAUUACUGAAUUCAUCUUUAGCAAAGCAUUUUUCUUUUGGUAGGUUCAUGUUCACAAGGAUGGGUAGCAUUAAAAAAUAACUGUUAUAGAAUUAGUAAAGAAAGCGUGCCAUGGAAUGUAGCCCAGCAACGUUGUAAGUUAUCCUUAAGUUCUGCACACCUUGUGGAUAUAAAAAAUGAAGAGGAAAAACACUUUAUAUUUUCACUUCUCAGGUCAAAGAAUCAAAUAAUAAUAUGGACUGGUCUUAAUGAUUUGAAGAAAGAAGGUCAUCUCAUAUGGACAGAUGGAUCAUCUUUUGGCCUUAAGACGAAUGAAAUCAUUUCUUUUCCACUGCUACCCAAGAAUGAAACGGAUUGCUAUAUUUUACAGCAAAAUGCAACAGGAUCAAACUAUUUCUUUACACGAUUUUUCUGUUAUGUUCCAUUGCCAUAUAUUUGCGAAUAUGAACGUAAUUAUUUUUAUUAGUAUUUUAUAUUCAUGCAUCUCAUGCUUAUAUUUUAAAGACAGAAUUAUAAUUUCUAAUUAAAAAUAAAUCUCUUUUAUCUUUUUUUCAGCACCAUUUCUACAGGAAGACUUUUUCUUCUAUGUAAAGGAUGUUGGAACAACUGAAGUUGUAUUUAGUUGGAAUAAUUUGAAUGGUUGGAAUAUUUUGAAUAAGUGGCUGAAACUGGGAUAUAAAAUUAUCAUUAAAUAUUAUUUAGACCACAAAGAAGAACAACAUUUUGAAAGCAUUCCCCCAAAUACUACAGAAAAAGCAAUUACCCAGUUGUCUCCUGGCCAUAUUUACAGGUUUUCACUCUUUGCAAUAAAUGAAGGGGAGGCAAAAACUACUUUAAGUCCACUAUUCAUUGUUGAAACACGCCCAUUAUCAGCACAGAAUUUCACAGUUACUCAUGUGAAGCCAACAGAAAUAUUUUUACGCUGGGACCCUCCAGAUCCUGUAUCUUUUCACCAUUAUGUUGUGACUAUUUUGGAUGUUGAAAACAAUAAAUCAGAAGAGAUGUUUGUUGAAAAACUCAAUACAUCAACAGCAAUCGGAAAUCUCAGAUCUUUCCAUCGUUAUCUGAUAUAUCUAUUCAGUGUAGCAGAAAGAGGAACUUUAAGCUGCUUUGAGAAACCUAUUUCAGCCAUUACAGGUAUUAACCCACCCCAGAAAGUUUAUGCUAAACCUGAAGAUGUGGGAGAGAACAGUAUAAUAAUUCAGUGGGAACCCCCACAAGAUGGCCAUGAGGUCUACAUUCAAGUCAAAUCCAUAUCAGAUACAAGAGAAGUCAUCAAGCUUUUUGUAAAGGAUGCUAAUAGAUUCAAGAUUGAUAAUUUAAUCCCUGGGAUGACAUAUGACAUUGGAGUGGCAACAGUGAUGAAUGGGAACUUGAGUGAGCUGGUAACUCUUCAACAAACUCUAAGUGAGAAUCAAAUACUUCUCAUUUUUAACAGAUGUUUGCUGAUUUGGGGUAUUGUAAAAUAGUUCCUGAUAGACCCCUUGUAACAAGUUUUACCAGAGUAGAUUGUUGGUGUGCCUCAGGACCUGGAGCAAUUUGCAUCCCUUUUCUCCUGAAAAUGCUUCAUGCUUGUAUGAAGGCAGCAUUGUUUAUGAUUAAGAACUUGAUCCUAAAGCCACACUACCUAGGUUUGCAUCUAGGUUCAACUGUUUCAGUAACCCUGGGCAAUAUGCUCAACCUGUUUAUGCCUCAGUUUCUACAUUUGUAAAGUGGGAGAAAAUAAUGUGUAUUUCAUGGGUUGUCCUGAGAAUAGCUGAUUUCAUAAAUGUAAGGACUUAGAACAGUGCCUGACACGUACCUAUGUAAGUGUUUGUAAUUAUUAUUGCAUCAACAAAGGCAUACUGAAGCACAUGAAAGGAAAUACUGAUGGCAUAAAAAAGGUUUAGGACCAAAUAAACAAAAAAUUUCUAUACUCUUUCUCA
rnacentral:lncRNA from 1 species